rnacentral:lncRNA from 1 species
GGGCGGGACUGGAACCGGCACUUGGCACCCCUUACGCCUUACGGUGGCCGCUGCGCCCAGUCACAUCUAUUGCAUUUCUCUGGAAUGACCACAGCAAUAUUUCCAGCCCUUGAUGAUCUUCUAGAACUUUGCCACUUCCCUGCAUCAAGAGGUAAAAUCCAUUUCUAUUCUCUUGAAUUGAACAGCUUCAAUGAAUUGAGUGCUGAAGAAUUAACACUCUGUGACUUCAUGACUUGUUGGAAAUUGUGAGGAAUCUCAGGCCACAUGGAGGGGCCAGUGAAGAUGUUCCAGCUUAUAGCCCCAGCUAAGGUUUCAACUAAUAGCCAGACUCAACCACCAGGUAUAUGAAUGAACCUUCAGAUGAUUCUAGUCUCCAGCCUUCAAGCUUCCCCAGUCGAUGCUGAGUGGAGCAAAAAAAGGAAUUAUUCUCACUGAGCCCUGUCCAAAUUGCAAAUACCUGACAAAAAUAAAUAUUGUUGUUUUAAGCCACUAAAUUUUGGAGGAACUUGUUAUGCAAUCAUAAAAACAGAUUUUGUUAUCUGGAAGUGAGUGCCAUGUAACAGAAAUCUAAAAUGUGGUAGUGGCUGAAGCUAGACUAGACAGGAUUAGGCAGGACUAGACAGAGGGCAGAAGGUGAGAGGGCCUUCAGGUGACUGUGGAAGGCUGAUGGACCUCAAGGAGGCUAUCAGAGAGGGUUUAGAGGAGAGUGAAAAAAUAUCAUUGGAGCUGGAGGAAAGAGGAUCAUUGUUAGGUAAUGACAUGAAGUUUGGCCACCUUAUCACCUGUGGUAAUGUGAAAAGCAGAAAAUGGUGAUUGUCUGGCUUCUUCUUGCUGCUUAUAGUAAAA